CCUGCACAAAAGAGGGGUAAUAGAAGGAGAAGCUGGGAGGCUCUAAAGAUAGACUUUGCCUGCUCUUCAAAUUUUGCUCAAUUCUCACUUCUGAAUCCAUAACAUAUAUCUUGAUGGCCGGAGAGUAUAGAUAAUGCGGUUAUGAAUCAGGCACCAGGUCCCAAAUGCUGUGACCACCUUCUCCCUUAGUAACAUCUGGACACCGGUAAUGGGACUCCAAGUCUCUCUGCAGGUUCCAGAUAUGGCUGCUUAUGGUCCAGCUACCUAUGACACAAAGACCAGUUUUCUGACUGUGAUAGUGUGAUUUAUAUAAAAAAUAUAUAUAUACUUGAUUGUUCAGAUGAUUAAAUAUUUAUUUCUCAUAUGUAUUUGGUCUUUGUCUAAAGUUCCUGCCUCAAAGCUCCCAAACCCUUGGAUUUCCUAAAUGCUGAGAGUUUAGAGGUGUCCCUUAUGUUAAUAAGGUGAGUUUUAGAAA
rnacentral:lncRNA from 1 species